AUUGAAGGUAACACCACGUAAUUACUCAUGUAAUAUGAUUUUUAUGUGAUAUUCUCUUCCAGCAAUAAUGUUUAAGUGCACAAUCUGCGAUAAAAUGUGCGAUUCAAAAUAACAAUGGCACAGGCAUAAUAAACUCACUCAUAAAUUGUCAGUCAAGUUUUGUUAUGACUGUAAGCAAUGUGAGAAUACAUUUCAAUCUAAAAGAGCUCUUCAAAAACACCUAAUAACAAGUCACAGUGAAAAGAAACUGCGAUGUAAGGAGUGUGGAAAACUUUACAAAUUAUUGAAGACCCUAAAAGCGCACAUUAACAUAAAGAAACAUAAUUGGAUUAAAACAAGAAAGUCAAGACUAAUCUGUCCUUUUAAUAAUAGUUUUAAUUUUGAGACGUAUCAGCGAUUGAGGGAACUUUUGGUAGAAAGUCAUUCGGUGCAAAUAACACCUGAAUAUUACAUAUUUAAUACGGAUGCAGAAUUUGAUUAUUGGAAAAAUUAAGAGAAAAUAAGUCAAUUAUGCUAAAGACAGUAGGUGUAGAACGCUAAAAUCUGGCGCCGUACGAGCUAUUUACAUAUGCCACAGAUCUUAUGCCCCAAGAGAAAAAAACAGUCAAUGGAAAAAACGGUUUAGAAACUUAGAUUCGAACAAAAUUAAUAAGGCCUGUCCUUCUAUUCUAGUUGUCACUAAAACUCCUCAUAAACUACUAGUUCUUUGGUAUCCAGUUCAUAUUGGCCAUUCAAAUGAAUUAGGACAGUUAUCCAUUCCUAGCAUAGACAAACAGCAAAUAGCAAGUAAAUUAUCUCAGGGAGUAUCUGUUAGUCGGAUUCUUAAUGAUAUUAGAGCGGAUAUCUCUGAAGAUGGAACUAAAAUAAUUCACUUAAUAGAGGAACAAGACAUUCAUAAUACAAAAAGGGACUUUUCUAUCGGUUAAGUCACCAAAAGGCAUCAAAAUGAUGCAGUAAGAAGAAAACAGCCCAGUAUUAUUUUAUAAGGAGCAACGAUUAGAAGAUGCAGUUCUCGAUAAAAAUGACUUCGUCCUCAUUAUCAUGACAGAUUUUCAAGCCAACUGUAUAUCAAAAUUUGGAAGUCACAAAAUUUGUAUUGAUGGAACCCAUGGGUUAAAUGCC